rnacentral:misc_RNA from 1 species
GGACUACAGGGGUAUCUAAUCCCUUUCGCUCCCCUGGCUUUCGUCCAUGAGCGUCAGUAAUGGCCCAGCAGAGCGCCUUCGCCACUGGUGUUCUUCCCGAUAUCUACGCAUUUCACCGCUACACCGGGAAUUCCCUCUGCCCCUACCAUACUCAAGCCUUUCAGUUUCCACUGCCAUGAUGGAGUUAAGCUCCACGCUUUAACAGCAGACUUGAAAAGCCGCCUGCGGACGCUUUACGCCCAAUAAUUCCGGAUAACGCUUGCCACUCCCGUAUUACCGCGGCUGCUGGCACGGAAUUAGCCGUGGCUUAUUCCUCAAGUACCGUCAUAUCUUCUUCCUUGAGAAAAGAGGUUUACAGCCCAGAGGCCUUCGUCCCUCACGCGGCGUUGCUCCGUCAGGC